ACAGGAAUGCCAAAGAAAAGACAUAAACAACAUUUCGUACACAAUGAAGCAUUGAAAUUUUAACAACCUACAAAGCACUGAGGAAGAGGAACUAACGUCAUGUUUGCAGAUGUCUUUAUAUGUGUGUGGUUUUCAUCCAGUAAGCAGUAAUUCGGGUCAAAACCUCAUCACACAUCUUAUUAUGCGAUGUGUCUUUUACAGGGAUGAGACUCCCGUCGGAGCCACCGCCAUGGAGCAAAAUAACAGGCAGAGCCGACCAAACUAACCCUCUGAGAGGAAGGCAGCUGCGGAUAAUGGUGACAAGCAUCACACACGCUGAGCCAGCGGUCCACCAUAGGGUGAUUGGCGCUGAGUGAUGACCGUGCCGUCUCUCUCUGAAACUCUCUCUGGUUGGCCCACGUCCCAGCAUCCCGUGGCAGACUGCGGCUGUUGGUGCCAGAGGAGUGGCGAGCUUUCAGGAAGCCAGCGGUGGUGGACCAACGGGUUGGGUUCUUCCUUGAUGGCGGUUCUUCCGUUUGGACCCGUGAUUCACCGCCGCUAAACGGUCCGUUGAUGGGCAGAAGGCGUGACCUCGAUCUCGCUGGCCGUCUGAUAGGGUUGGAAGGCUGAGGCUCCGCUGCCAGCGCUGAGGUCUGCG